AUGAACGCUGGCGGCGUGCCUUAAGCAUGCAAGUCGAACGGAAAGAUGAUUGUCGCAAGAUAGUUGUUAAUUAGUGGCGGACGGGUGAGUACAAGAAGGGAACGUACCCCGAAGUAUCGCAUAGCUCGCCGAAAGGCGGGGUAAUACGGUAUGUGGUAGCAAUAUUAAAGAUGUAAAUCGCUUCGGGAGCGGCCCUUCUCCCAUCAGCUUGUUGGUGAGGUAAAAGCUUACCAAGGCUAUGACGGGUAGGGGGUGUGAGAGCACGGCCCCCCACAAUGGCACUGAGACACGGGCCAUACGUCUACGGACGGCAGCAACUGGGAAUAUUCGGCAAUGGGCGAAAGCCUGACCGAGCGACGCCGCGUGAGGGAUGAAGUAUUUCGGUAUGUAAACCUCUUUUAUAUAGCCGUCGAGGCUAUAAGAAUAAGCACCUACAAACUACGU
rnacentral:rRNA from 1 species